UACGGGGGGGGCAAGCGUUGUUCGGAAUUACUGGGCGUAAAGGGUCUGUAGGUGGUCUGCUAAGUCAGACGUGAAAUCCCUCAGCUUAACUGGGGAACUGCGUCUGAUACUGGCGGACUUGAGGACAGGAGAGGAACGCGGAAUUCCAGGUGUAGCGGUGAAAUGCGUAGAUAUCUGGAGGAACACCGGUGGCGAAGGCGGCGUUCUGGACCGAAACUGACACUGAGGCGCGAAAGCCAGGGGAGCAAACGGG
rnacentral:rRNA from 1 species